rnacentral:lncRNA from 1 species
AUGUGACUUUGCUCCUCAUUCGCCUUUCACGAUAAUUGUGAGCCACCGCCCCCCGGCCAUGUGGAACUGUGAGUCAAUUAAACUUCUUUCCUUUAUAAAUUACCCAGUCUUGGGUAUGUCUUUAUUAGCAGGGUGAGAACAGCCUAAUACAGUCAUGUUCACAAAUUUACAAAUAACCUUUUUAUUUUCUUGAAGUUCAAAGUACCAACCUGGAGAAAAUGCCCUGGAUUUGGAAGCAAAGUAUUGAAUGUUGGAAGUCUGAAUAAAGGAAUCAUACACUGUAUGUGCACCUGAAUGUACUUUACAAGCAUCAGUAGAACACUUCUGAUUGAAGCUUGGUCUUAUGAAGAUAAAAAUUUUAUGUGGACCACAGAUUCUCUAAAAAUCAGGACAUGGGUGAAGCUGGAAACCAUCAUCCUCAACAAACUAACACAGGAACAGAAAAGCAAACACCGCAUGUUCUCACUCAUAAGUGGGAGUUGAACAAUGAGAACACAUGGACACAGGGAAGUGAACACCACACACUGGGGCCUGUCGGGGGUUGAGGGGCAAGUGGAAGGAGAGCAUUAGGACAAAUACCUAAUGCAUGUGGGGCUUAAAACCUAUAUGGGUUGAUAGGCACAGCAAACCACAAUGGCACAUGUAUACCUAUGUAAUAAAGCUGCAUGUUCAGCACAUGUAUCCCAGAACUUACAGUAAAAUAGAAAUAAAUAAAUAAAUAAAUAAAUAAAUAAAUGCUAGACUGGCUUAGCAUCCAGCCUACAUCUUUCUCCUGUGCUAGAUGCUUCCUGUCCUCAAACAUCGGACUCCAAAUUCUUCAGCUUUGGGACGGACUGGCUUCCUUGCUCCUCAGCUUGCAGACAGCCGACUGUGGGACCUUGUGAUCAUAAUACCACAGUCUGGAGGCUAUGAAGUCCAUGAUUAAGAAGCCAGCACGUUUGCUUUCUGGUUCCAAGAUGGCAUACCUUUUUGCUGCUUCCUCCAGAGAGGAGGAACACUGUGUUCUCACAUAGUAGAAGAUGGAAGGAGCAGAUGCAGAUGAGCAUGGCAAUGUGAGAAUAUGUCAGAGGCCCCAGGAUGAAAUGAGCUCAAGUCCCUGAAAUCCCUGUUAGAAGAGUCUUUCCACUGGUUGGGAAUGCUAAUUGUAUUUUGACAACUCAAUGUUUCAGCAACUCAAAAUGUUACAGCUUCUGCAUUGGAAUAAAAAAAGGAAAGAAAACAGAAUUUGUACUCAUAUCAGAAGGCAAUCAAAGAACAUACACAUAAUAUACAUUCUAUUAUAGAGGGAGAUGAAGAAGAAGUAUGGAAGAAGUAAGAUGAAGAAGAAGUAUGGAAGAAGUAAGAUCUGGAGUCUGGGAAGUUCAAGAUCAAGGUGCUGGCAUUUGG